rnacentral:rRNA from 1 species
CUUGCUAGUAAGAUGACGAGUGGCGGACGGGUGAGUAAUGCUUGGGAACUUGCCUUCAGGAGGGGGAUAACAGUUGGAAACGACUGCUAAUACCGCAUAAUGUCUACGGACCAAAGCGGGCUUCGGCUCCCACCUGAAGAGAGGCCCAAGUGAGAUUAGCUAGUUGGUAAGGUAAAGGCUUACCAAGGCGACGAUCUCUAGCUGUUCUGAGAGGAAGAUCAGCCACACUGGGACUGAAACACGGCCCAGACUCCUACGGGAGGCAGCAGUGGGGAAUAUUGCACAAUGGGGGAAACCCUGAUGCAGCCAUGCCGCGUGUGUGAAGAAGGCCUUCGGGUUGUAAAGCACUUUCAGUUGUGAGGAAAAGUUGGUAGUUAAUACCUGCCAGCUGUGACGUUAACAACAGAAGAAGCACCGGCUAACUCCGUGCCAGCAGCCGCGGUAAUACGGAGGGUGCGAGCGUUAAUCGGAAUUACUGGGCGUAAAGCGCACGCAGGCGGUUUGUUAAGCUAGAUGUGAAAGCCCCGGGCUCAACCUGGGAUGGUCAUUUAGAACUGGCAGACUAGAGUCUUGGAGAGGGGAGUGGAAUUCCAGGUGUA